AUUGAACGCUGGCGGCAGGCCUAACACAUGCAAGUCGAGCGGAUGAAGGGAGCUUGCUCCUGGAUUCAGCGGCGGACGGGUGAGUAAUGCCUAGGAAUCUGCCUGGUAGUGGGGAUAACGUCCGGAAACGGGCGCUAAUACCGCAUACGUCCUGUGGGAGAAAGUGGGGGAUCUUCGGACCUCACGCUAUCAGAUGAGCCUAGGUCGGAUUAGCUAGUUGGUGGGGUAAAGGCCUACCAAGGCGACGAUCCGUAACUGGUCUGAGAGGAUGAUCAGUCACACUGGAACUGAGACACGGUCCAGACUCCUACGGGAGGCAGCAGUGGGGAAUAUUGGACAAUGGGCGAAAGCCUGAUCCAGCCAUGCCGCGUGUGUGAAGAAGGUCUUCGGAUUGUAAAGCACUUUUAGUUGGGAGGAAGGGCAGUAAGUUAAUACCUUGCUGUUUUGACGUUACCAACAGAAUAAGCACCGGCUAACUUCGUG
rnacentral:rRNA from 1 species